AUGCUAUACUACUACUUCUCAUUUCUCUCCUCAUUCGAUAUCGUUAUCGUCUUCUUCUUCUACCUCCAACCAACCUCCUCGUUAGGGUUUUCACUUCCUACUCUCUUUUCACUUUUCACCAUUCGCGAGAUCACAAUUUCCCUCUCCCAAGGUAAUGUAAUCGAUCCAUUUCCAAUUCCAAUUCCAAUUAGAACUUGUUCAUUUUCGGUAAAUUAG